CAAGUUUUUUGAAACUAUUGAGAACAAAGAUGCAACAUACCACUCGAGUGUGCAGUGGGGAAACCAACCUUGGAGAGCCGAGCAUGUG
rnacentral:snoRNA from 2 species